CAAUAAUCGCGUUACAAAUAGACGGUAAUAUAAUAUUAUAACGAUUUGUAAUACACUGCCGGCGGCCGAAAUUGAAUCGGAAAACGGAGCGUUUGCCGGAUUUGUGUAUACACGUAACUAUGUACCUAUAGCUAACUUAUUAAACGAUAUUAACGCAACUUACAAACACUACACGCGCAUAGAGCGUACAAAGCGUUUGUCGAGUUGUGCGUGAUCAUUAAUUAUUAUAGAAUUCUACCUGCGUACAGAUAUAGGUUGGCCCGCGUAACUUUUUGCGGGAAAUUCAAAUAUACGCGUUUUACCGGUUCGCAAACUAAAUAUUAUAACGAUUUGAAGUUUUCGCGACCGAAUUAAACAUUCCGACUACCACUAAUGCCUGUGCACAGGCAAUUUUAGUGCUACAACGUUGCACACGAGGUACGGUUAUGGUACCGAGGUUUAACAACUA